UACAGGGGGUGCAAACGUUGCUCGGAAUCAUUGGGCGUAAAGCGCACGUAGGCGGUCUGUUAUGUCGGAUGUGAAAGCCCUUGGCUUAACUGAGGAAGUGCAUCCGAAACUGGCAGGCUAGAGUACUAAAGAGGGUCGCGGAAUUCCCGGUGUAGAGGUGAAAUUCGUAGAUAUCGGGAGGAACACCGGUGGCGAAGGCGGCGACCUGGGACAAUACUGACGCUGAGGUGCGAAAGCGUGGGGAGCGAUCCGG
rnacentral:rRNA from 1 species